GUAUGGGCUCCUCCUAACUGGUGUGAGCUGAGCUCUGCCUAUGAUAAUGGCCGACUUGGAGCUCACACCAGUGGAGGACUCCAUACAAACUGGAAUGGAGGGACCUUCAUUAUAUUGUAACCUCAUUUUCAAGCUUAUCAUGAUGAAAGAAUAGGAUUAAAAAGUUGCAGGAUUUUUACGGAGCAGCCUUGUUCAGCAACAGGAUGACAUUCAACAAAGCUAGCUGCUGGGCCUGGCAAACAAACAAAAAAAAAGAAAUAUGUAAAUAUGGGCUGGAUAAUUUGCUGUAAAACUUUGUUCAAGCAGAUUGUUAGAUCUUUCUUAGCGUGUCGCUUAAAAGGCAGCCCUGUCUAAUGUUUGUCUGCUAUAGAUGGCGAUAGGAUUUUGACAGAGCAGCCUUGUUCAGUAGGGGAAGGAGAUUCUUAGGUAUUUUAUAGAUUUUCUUACAAUUUUUUGUAUCAUUUUUAUAAAUUUUGUAUAUAAAUAUUUUUUCCAUUAA